CGGGUGGAUCCGCNAAGUCGCCGCUCGGGAUUCAGCGCGGCGUGCGGCCCGGGGCUGCCGGUGGCGGAGAUCCCCGUCCCCNNNNGGGCGAACUCUGCCGGCCGGUGCCGACCCGGGCCCCGCCGCGUGCACUUUCCGAGCCGGUGAGCGCUACGACCGGUUCUCCGCAGCGACAAGCCCGUGGGGAAGGUAGGCGCCGCGACGUUCUUUCGUUCGAAGCGGUGCUGUUAUAGCCCCGCGGGGAGCCGCCUGCCGCUGGGGACCGAGGGACGGCCGCGCCCGAUCGGGCGCGUCCGGCCGGCGCGGGGAGUCAUGCUCUCGACUGGCGGGGACUGGGCAACCGUGCCCGCCGACCGCUCCCCGUGCUCGGUUCGGAGCCGCGCGGGCGCCGAGGGUCAGUGGCGAGUNUUCGGCCUUCCACCC
rnacentral:rRNA from 1 species